rnacentral:rRNA from 1 species
AACGAACGCUGGCGGCAGGCUUAACACAUGCAAGUCGAGCGCCCCGCAAGGGGAGCGGCAGACGGGUGAGUAACGCGUGGGAAUCUAACCAUAUCUAGGGAAUAGCGCAUGGCAACGUGCGCGAAUACCGUAGACGUCCUUCGGGAGAAAGAUUGAUCGCAGAUGGAUGAGCCCGCGUUGGAUUAGCUAGUGGGUGGGGUAAAGGCCUACCAAGGCGACGAUCCAUAGCUGGGCUGAGAGGAUGAUCAGCCACACUGGGACUGAGACACGGCCCAGACUCCUACGGGAGGCAGCAGUGGUGAAUAUUGGACAAUGGGCGCAAGCCUGAUCCAGCCAUGCCGCGUGAGUGAUGAAGGCCCUAGGGUUGUAAAGCUCUUUCACCGGUGAAGAUAAUGACGGUAACCGGAGAAGAAGCCCCGGCUAACUUCGUGCCAGCCGCCGCCGUAACAC